GUGGUCUGGGGAGAGAGUACACAUGGGCCAUGCCCAUGGAGGCUAUAGGAAGACAAUGGGGAUCUUGCCCAACCACUCCUCACCUCAUUCCCCUGAGACAGGGCCUCUCACUGAACCUGGUGGCCAGCAAGUCCCAGGGACCUCCUGUCUCCUCCCUACACAGUGGUGGGAUCAUGGGCCUGUGAGGGUACUGGGGAAUCAACUCAGGCCUCAUGUUUGUGUAGCAACUGCUCACUCUUAUCCACCGAGCCACCUCCCCAGCUCCUAGGUUUGUUUCCCUUCUUUCUUUCUAAAGGAGAUUUUAUAUAUUUGUUUGUUUGUUUAUUGUGUGUUGGUUAGGGGACGAGACUCACAUGUGCCACAGUGUAAGUCUAGAAGUCAGAGGACGAGGUAGGGGGAAUGGCUCUCUCCUUCUACAGUGUGGAUUCCAGGAACUGAACUCUGGUCCUUGGGCUUGCUGGCAAGCACCUUUCCUCUCUCAGCCAUCUCGCUGGCCUGCUGGGUAUGUUUUCUGAUGGUUGUUGCAGUAUUUGGAUGGGACCACCCAGAGCCAUCUUGAACCAGGAGGAAAGCCAAGCUGUGGAUGAGAGAGCAGAGAGAUGGAAGGAAGAAGAUGCCACAGGAAACCAUUUAGAGGACAAGCUGGGGGGCGGGGGGGGGGGGGCUAGUGAGCCUCUACUUGCAGUUGCAAAGAAAUAUCCUUACUGUCUGUUAGUCUUCUGACAUCUGCCCUGAAGACAUCCUAGCCAGACAUGGUGGCACACGUGGUUCAUGACACUAACUCUCCAGUCUCAUCUGCUUAACCUUCCUCCCACACUUCAGACAAACUAAAAGUCAAACCAGCUUCUUUGGGACGCUGCACUAGAGAGUGCCCCUCUCUAUCCUGGCUGCAAUCGGUCCUUCCAAAGUGGACUCAGUGGGUCGAAGGAACUCUUGGACCCAGACCAGCUCAGCAGUCCCUUCAGAUCCAUCGGGCCCAAUUGCAGUCAUGGAUCUUGACGACUGUCCUGUUUCUCAGGCAGGGCACCUCUAAGGACCGCUCCCGCCACUCUCACGCACAGCUGGAAAGACUCGGUAGCCAUCCUCUCCUGUCCCAAACCGAGCACUUCCUUCACCAGGUGCCAAGCAACGGUCCAGACUUGCAGGGAGCGUUCUGUUGGGACAGUCUGUCUGUCCAGGGGCGGGAAGGAGCUCCAGGCAGUCUCUGUGGACAGCAGGGGACCGGCUCAGUUUGCUGCAAAGAUUUCUCGGGGCUCUCUUUCCAAGGAAACUUUUGCAGGGCUCCGCUGUCCAGUUGCUCAGAUACAUUAAGAGAGAAGAUUGGGUUGAGCCAAAUGGGUUGGUUUGAAUGAAAAUGACUCCCGAAGACAUACAGGGAAGUGGCACUAUUAGGAGGUGUAGAACUCUCAGCUGCCUCUCCAGCUCCAUGUCUGCUUGUGUCCUGCCAUGCUUCCCACCGUGAUGAUAACGGACUGACCCUCUGAACCUAUGUCACGUGUUCCCUGACCGUGAUUGUUUCCCGCCCCUGGGCUGGUCUCUCUGCUCACAGUCCUGUGAACUCAUUCAAUAAGACCCUCAAGUACCUAGUGUGGCCAAAGCUGUAGGAGUACUGAGACGAAAGCAGCAGAGAUUCCGCCUUCCAGAUCCUCAUCCCGUACAUAGUGAGGGAGAUGGACCAAAACCUGCCUUCCCAGGACGCUCCUUUGCUUCUCAAACAACGUGCCAGGCAAUAGAGGCCAGAGGGAAAUGGCACCAGCCUCACUGCAGGCUCAGACGGUUCAGGAGAUGACGCUCAGCAUGGGCCAGGAGGCACCUGGCACAGAUCCAAAGACCUGUCCAUUAAGCUGACCGCCUGCCGCUGCUCCUGGCCCUCCUGUCACUUCUUUCUCUUCCCCCUUUCUGCUGUCAGGAGAUAGAGGGAGGUGUGCAUUGCCUUGCUGGGCUGUCAAGAUCCGGGUGGGCCCUUCAUCACGUAUUAAACAUUAAUGGAGAUAUUUUUUAAAACUUUGCUUACUUCACUUAUUUUUUAAUUUUCAUUUUAUUUAUUCUUUGUGUCUUUCACAUCAUGUCUCCACAUCAUGUCUUCCGAUCUCACCUGCCUCCCCACCUCCCCCCCCCAAAAAACAGAACAAAAUUUAAGAGAAGAAGGUGGGUGGUGGGAAGGAAGAAAUGGAGAAUCCCGUAAUGGAAGCUUCGGUGUAACGCAGUGAGACACGCAGUAAACCCCUUUGUCUAUACAUUUUCACAUGUAGGCGUUCAUCGCAAAGAAUAACUGGUCUGACUCGAGGUUCCUGGUCUCUGCUACAGCAUCGAUCGCUGGGCCCUCCCUGGGACUCUUCCUGGACAUCCCCCUGCUGCCCUGUGUGGCAGGGAUCCUGCAGCCCGGGGUCCACAGGACUGCCCCACCCGACUCCCACCUCAUGCUCCAGGAGUACAGAUGGGGUGGAUGUUGGGUUCCCUGCUGCCCGGCACACUUGAGAACCCACGGUGGUGUGGAAGAUGUGUGCAGUGAAGGAAGCAAUGGAUGAAGUAGUAUGUGGUCCACACCAACUGCGGAUGCUCCGAGCUCCAAGCUCUGAGCUUCCAGCUCCAGAAAUGCUCUGAAGAAACAGGGGCCAAGAAUGGCGGCAGGAACCCAGCAUCACUCAGCACAGCUGGCUGAGUACAGUCUAGGACACCAGCCCACAAGAUGGUGCUGCCUACAUUCAGGGCAGGUCUUCCCUCUUCGCUGAACCGCUCUAGAAACGCCCUCACAGACGGACCUAGAGUUACAUCUCUUUGGUGAUUAUAAAUGCAGACAAGUUGACUGGCCCCCAUAUUCCUAAAA